UGCACUUGCCUCCUUUGCAGCCCCGUCUCGGCGGGGCGCAGGCAUAGGCCCGCGCGGGCACUAGCACGCAUGCACCGAGUAGACACAGUGCACGUCUGUUAACGUGGUUACUCGCACGGAGCCGAGCGUGCUGCUUGCUUGCCUGCCUACGGAGUUGUGUUACAGUACGUGCACGCUAGGAAUGCACGCUCUUGCCUCCAUAUGGAGAGUGAUCGUCAUCGGCUCAGUUGGCAACGCAGAAGCUUGAAACUCAAAAUGAUUUCCCAGCUCUUGAUUUCAGAGGUCCGCAGAAUAAGGGUUGAUACUUGUUCAAAACUUUGCUUGGCUGUUGAGAAAAGAGCCUUCCUUGUUCAUGGAGUUUUUCAUCAGUAUGUCUGAAACCAUUAAAUACAAUGACGAUGAUCACAAAACAGUAUUUCUGAAAACACUGAACGAGCAACGGUUGGAAGGAGAAUUUUGUGACAUAGCUAUUGUUGUUGAAGACGUGAAAUUCAGGGCCCACAGGUGUGUGCUUGCUGCUUGUAGUACCUACUUUAAAAAACUUUUCAAAAAACUGGAAGUGGACAGUUCAUCUGUAAUCGAGAUAGAUUUCCUUCGGUCUGACAUAUUUGAGGAAGUUCUUAAUUAUAUGUACACAGCCAAGAUUUCAGUUAAGAAAGAAGACGUAAAUUUAAUGAUGUCUUCUGGACAGAUUCUUGGUAUUAGAUUUUUGGACAAACUUUGCUCUCAAAAACGUGAUGUAUCUAGUCCAGAAGAUAGUUCGCAAUCAAAAAGCAAAUAUUGUCUUAAAAUAAAUCGAUCAAUUGGUGAAUCUAAUGAUACCCAAGAUGAUGAAGUUGAAGAAAUUGGAGAUCAUGAUGACAGCCCAUCAGACAUGACAAUGGAAGGAACUCCUCCUAGUCAUGAAGAUGGCAAAUCACCAACUGCUACUUUAAGAGUUCAGGAAGCCAUUCUAAAGGAGCUGGGGAGCGAAGAGGUUCGAAAGGUGAACUGCUAUGGCCAGGAAGUGGAGUCCAUAGAGGCUGCUGAAACUAAAGAACUGGGAUCGCAAACGCCUCAAGCUCUAGCGUUUAACGACGGCAUAAGUGAAGUAAAGGAUGAACAGACACCAGCAUGGACAACAGCAGCUGGCGAUAUGAAAUUUGAGUAUCUGCUUUAUGGCCACAGGGAGCAGAUUGCGUGUCAAGCAUGUGGCAAAACAUUUUCAGAUGAGGCACGAUUGAGAAAACAUGAAAAGCUGCAUACUGCUGAUAGACCAUUUGUUUGUGAAAUGUGCACUAAGGGCUUUACUACUCAAGCCCACUUGAAAGAGCAUCUAAAGAUCCACACAGGCUACAAGCCGUAUAGCUGUGAAGUAUGUGGGAAAUCUUUCAUCCGUGCUCCUGAUCUGAAGAAACAUGAGAGAGUUCACAGUAAUGAAAGGCCUUUUGCAUGCCACAUGUGUGACAAAGCUUUCAAACAUAAGUCCCACUUGAAAGAUCAUGAAAGACGACACAGAGGGGAAAAGCCUUUUGUUUGCAGCUCUUGUACUAAAGCAUUUGCCAAAGCAUCUGAUUUAAAGAGGCAUGAGAACAAUAUGCAUAGCGAAAGGAAACAAGUAACCACAACCAGCUCUCUCCAAAGUGAAACGGAACAGUUACAGGCAGCAGCCAUGGCUGCUGAAGCAGAACAGCAACUUGAAACUAUAGCUUGUAGCUAAAGGCAAAAGUAGGAGUGGCUUGAAAAAAUGUUUGGUCUGAUAAACUCACCACUGAGAAAAGUACUUUUAAAGGGUUGUAAAGACAAAUGUAGUUUACAAUUUGCAGCAAUGAUCACCCAACGGCAACAUUAAACUUGGGAUGAAGCCUUUAGGCAACACUCAGAUAUAAACAAAAAAUAGAGUCGGACUCUAACGAGCAGUAUUUUAUUACUCUGUUCCAACUCUGGUUCAGUGCAUGCCUAGCCCCACUGGAGCAAACUCUAUGCAUGUGGAAUGGAAGGCCUUACGUGCCAGUGCACAAUGAAAUUAAGCCGAAGUAUUUGGGUUUAAAUGACUUUUGUUUCAUUGGUUGCAGUUGCUUGGCAUCCCACUCCUAAAUAUAUUUGCUGUGAUCCAGGGAACCCCUAAUUUCCUUUAGGGGUUGUCAGCAUCAGUGACAAGUGACAGGAUGAGCCGCAGAGUCAGAAUUUACCCUUAUUAGGAUUUCAUUGAAAUCUAGCUAUUGUGUGGAAGUAAGCCUCAUGGAUUUUAGUAGAAAUUAGUUCCAUGUAAGUAUGAUGAGCUCAGCUUAAUUCCAAGUCCUUUAGUUUCAUUGGCCUGCAGAUCGUGCUGUUAGUGUAUUGAACAGCUUAAAUAAAUUAUGUCUGCUACAACAGUUUUUUUAAACCUUGAAAUUAUGAGUUACAAGAAAGCAAGAAGUUGUUUGAAAUGAAAAAAAAGUGUGCCAGUCUUCUGAUCAGAACUUAAUGACUUUAGUAUUUCAUGUAAUAGUUCUUUGCAGUUGUCUAGUUCCAGCUUAAUCUACUCUAAUUGUUGCUGCAACUUGUUGAUGCAGCUGUGUGGGCAGCUGAACAAUGGAAACUAUGGCAUAUCUGGAAAUACCUUGCUGCUGCUUUUCUUAUUCCAGCUGAUGAAUUCCUGUUAUCCCAAGGUUUCUUUGUUGAAGGCUGAAAUCUUAUGCACACUUACUUGGGAGUAAGUGUCAUUGUACUCAGUUGGACCUGCUUUUCUCUGCUUUUCAAUGCACUCUGCUCUUCACCUGGGGUUCUCAAAUCUAUCCUUUUAUGAUUGAAAUGGCAAAAGUUUCCAGGACCUUCCAAGAUUCUACAUGACUCACAGGACCAGCUCAUAUACACGUCAUUGAUUUAUAAAGAAGCAGUCUGAUGUCAGACAGAGAGGAGCCAGUUCGCCUGUUUGACAAGCAGUGAAUGAUGACUACAGCACCUUCCUUGGUAUUUAAAAAGCGUCACUGUAGCUGAGAUAAACCCAUUGACAUGAGUUGGUUAUUGGAUUAUACUAAAUGAGUACUGUAACUAUCAUAGGUAUUGUUCAAUGAUGCUACCUGGGUAAGUAUACCUAGUAACAUCUGAAUAUACAAGAUCAGUAUAAGUACAUGAAAAAAGGAAUAUAAAUGCUAUUGUACAUUGCAUAUAUUUUUAUACGCCUUCAGAAUCCAAUGCAUUUAAAUGUAUGUAUACAUGAUAAAACAGAUUACUGUGGCUAGCAAAUGCAAAUUUGAGCAGUGGUAAUAUUGAUAGCAUUCAGAUUGUCAGCAAACAUCCAGAGCUUUGUAAGCACUUCAGAAUCAAAUGUGAGCUUUGUCACAUUUCUCACUACAAUGACAAGAACCACAGCCUUGCUUUCUUUACCAAGCCCAGUUACUUGUGCACAGGUGUUUGGCAAUCAGUCCAAAUGUACAAGGUUGAAAACAAAUCGUGAUGGCUUUAGCUGAAUGUACUUUCAAAUAAGUGCUUCAGAUUCCCCAAAACAACAUGAUUUCUCAGUAAUGUUAAAACUUUUGGCCUUGAUUGGGUUGCCAAUAAUAAAGGUCAGCACUCACAUGAACCUGCUGUUUCACUGAUUCUAAUGAAACCAUAUGCAAUGCUAAGAAAAGCCGCAUUAAAAAUAUCUGAAUGCUCAGCUCUGAAUGAAACAAGGAAAUACUAUUUUGCACAAAUUGCUAGAUCUGCAUGCUAUAUUUGAAAUAGAAUGAAAGUGAUUUAAAAUGUUUUUCAUAUGGUCAAGGAGUAGGAGAAGUACAGAUUGAGAUCCAUGUAUUUUGUGAGUGGAUGGGGUUCCCAGUAAAAGGAUCUGACCGGAAGACAAAUCCAUUCAGCUCAUACAAAUGCUGAAGUCAGGUGUCUGAAACUUUUCCUUCACAACAUGUUGUCUGUUAGUAUGUUGCAGCCAGCAACUCAUGUUGCUCUUAGUGUUAAUAAUAUGCAAAAAUGGCAGUGCCUUUCUCUAGAGGCUCACCUGCUGGAAAAGAAAGGGUUUAAGGUGAGAAAGGAGAAAAGAAAGAAAGGGGGAGACAAAAUAGUUGUUUCACAUUUAAGUAGAAUUCUCCUCCCCCCCCCCCCUUUUCUGUGUUUUUUAUAGCCUAAUGCACCAAAAUUGAUGAGUUAUCUAUUAAUGUGGGAGUGGAUGGUAGGCAAAAAUCUUCAUCAUCAUCUGAUUAGAAUGAAAGCAGGAGCAGUGAAAAAGGUGUACACUUUCCUAUUUCUAAGAAACUUCAUUUUCUUUUCCAAUUGAAUUAUUGCCCAUUGCCUGCCUUAGUCUAACAGAUCAGAAUUUUAAGUACUAUUGAGGAAUAAUUUCAUUGAAAUCGUAAGUGUGAUAGAACAUAUAUUCAGUUGACUACCCUCACUGCUGUAGUGUAAAUUACCCAUCUUAAGUGCCAGUUCCUUUCUUGAAUGAAAAUCUGCCUGAUUCUUACUUUGCUCAAUAUGUAAUGAACAUCUGGAUUUUGUGGCCAUCACUAGAAGGAGCUGACUUUCCUGGGUGAACAUGCAGAGACUCGCAAUGUUUGUAUAUUGACAGUUCUUGGUAAGUUGCUGGCCAUUGAGCGGCUGAGUAAGAAUUUUUAUUGCUUUAGCCAAGGCUGCUUUGGAUCAGUUGCCCCUUUUGUACUGAACCACCAUGGAUACUUGGUUAUUAAAGUGGUAUUACAUUAAGACAGUGCCCUUAAAUAGGCAGAAAUCGAUCACAGCAUUGGUUGCAGUGUGGGUAAGACACAUAGGAAGUCAACUAUUGGGAUAUUAUAGUAAGGUAGAAAAGGGCAGGGGAUGGAGUUAUUCUGUGGAUGGAGUGGGUAAGCUUCUUGGAGUUGUGAGAAUCAAGAGACUAGGACUCGAGAGCACCUUUCAGCAUUCGAAAGGUGUUGAGCUGUUCAGGGGCUUAGAGGGUUAGACACAAUAUUAUUGCCUAACUUUUUGUAAGAACUGUACAGCUUUCACUGUUGCAGUGCUCUUGUUAAUUCCAUAAAGUUUUGGUCAUAGUUUAUCCCAAUAUGUGUAUCACUUCUUUGCUGUGUGUGGCUGCAAGCCCUUAACGGCUAAAACUUAAUUUUUAAAAAGAAAUGGACUCGGGAUAUAGGAUUUAGUGGCAUGAAAUAACCUUUUGCAUGCAUCCAGAAUCUCAAAAAUUACAGAAGUGCAAGUGAUUACAUUUUCCUAUAUGCUUGCAGCAUAAAUGCAAAUACUACUUCAGCCUACACUAGUCUGGUGCCUUCUAGCUGUGUUGACUAUACUGUAUCCCCAUCAUCCCCAUUCAGUGAAGGUCCUGGCUGAGCCCAAAGCUGCUAGAGUGUACUAGGUUCAGAAAUAUUGUCCUUUAAAGGAUUUACAGACCUGAGAAUCUAAUGGGAAUUGUUCCCACUACAUGACAUCUUUCUAACCACAAUGCUGUUCAUUGUCUUUUCUCCUGGAAACAGAGCACAUUGUGCUUUUUCUUCCUUGUAGAGUUUUUUUUCCCCCUUUACAGAGAUAGCUGUGAUGUUCCUGUGUUUCCUCCAGCUGAUUGGCCUUAAUUUCCUCUGCCAUUCCUUGACAUCCUCAGCAGAAAGACUCCCCCUCUGCCCUUCGAAAACAUACGCUUUCCUAGAAACACUCCUUGGCCUACUUUCUUCAGAGUCUUUUUUUUUUUAUUUUUUUAAUAAAAAGAUAAAGUUAUACCAGUAUUCUGACAACACCUAGUUGUGACCUUCCAAUUUGUGGCUUCAGAUUUUGGAAUUAUUUGGAACUGAAGGAAAGCAUGCUGUGAGAAGAGGCAAAAAGAACAGAAUUAGCACAUACUGUGACCUGGAGAGAUUUGGACAAUCUGUUAUUCACAUGGUUCAGUCCUGGACAGCCACUGAGCUUUUAUUUACUUUGUUAUACUUCUGUGAGCAGGCAUCAUGCUUGAACCACAGUGGUGGUGAAGGGUCAGUGUUCUUUUCAGCUGUUCCAACAGUUCAGAAGACAGGAACCUUUUAAAAACAGAUUACAAAAACACAUGCCUUGUUAAUGUAAGCAUAUUACGGAAUCUGAACUGACCUCAUAAAUCUGUUAUGCACGAUCCAAGCUGUUAAUUCUGACCCAUGAUCAGCAUGUUUACUUGAAAGUAUUUCUAGCUAAGUGUGCACCCUGAACUUUUUAAAAAGGAGGAGCACAGCGAGCAAGUGCCCCAGGCCUUAGAUGUAAGGGAGCCUCCAACACGGAGAGGGCCUUGUCAACGCUGGCCUUGUGGUAUUGUGACCCACUAUUUUCUCUCUCAAUCCCACUAACUUGAGGUUCAUAAACCCAGUGGGGAAAAUUGCAAAUUCAACUGGUGGUAGCAUCUUUUUGACAGGAUGAGUGAGAUGUUGUAGUGGUAGGCAGUGAAAUAGCAGCGAUCCAUAGGCAGCCAUACACUGUAGGGUCCCCAAAGUGACGACUACAGGCAACAGUGUGCUCACAGAGACUUUGCUGCGUGCCCUCUAUUUGUUGGAUCAUGAAAUGAACUUAAGAUCACAGUAUCUUAAACAGAAAUUGUUGCAAUGCUUUUCUUGAGGAUGAUACAGUCCGGUCAAACAUGCAACCUAAUCUUAAGCAAUUUUACUGAGUUCAAUGGGAGUACUCUCAAAUUAACAUGCAUGAGAUUACUGCUUUUGACAUUUUUAAAUUCCACCGAAUUAACUAAAAUUCGGAGAUGGGAUGAAGUAGCUUCCAUUAAAACCAGUGAGAUGAAGGUGUCUGAUUUUGCUUGAACCAUGUCCAGUAUGUACAGAAAACUCAGUGAAUUUGAAGCAGCAAGUGCAGACUUUAUAUGGUUCAAUUAGCCUUAACUAAGUGCACUGAAUCAGCACUAUAAGAUUUCAGAGUGGGGAAAGGUGGUUUUUGUGUGCUUGCAUGUGUCUUAAUGCACAGGCAGAAGUUGAAAACGAUAUUUUCAUGUAAGAACCAAACAAAACCCCACCCAGGGCCUUUUAAAAACUCUCAACCUCCUCCCCUCCUACUCCUCUGCCCUCUAACUAAAGGUUAACUGGCUCCAGGUCGUGCAUUGCUGCCUUCUAUUUUCUGGAAACUAUGCUUAAAUUUUUUGGAUCCCAGGAUGGGUCACCUACAUUGAAUUAUGACAAAUAAAUAAAUAAAUCUGCUCACUAAGAAGCUGCAUUGCCCUGAACACUUUAUAGAUCCUGUUUGCAUGGGGUUUUAAGGUUAGCCUUGAAGAGCAGCGCCCCGUAAAUGUCAGGCUGGCCGCCUCAUCCAGAGCCGAGGUUGACGAGCGUUAAUUAGGAGCAAUUAGCUUAUCCUCCUGCCGAGAGCCUUGGCGAGUACCUUUCCCUUUCCCCCUCCCUUCUACUGCCGCCGCUGCAGAGGCUAGCAUUGCUGUGUUUGCAGCCGGCAAAGGCACGGGAGAGGCGCUGAGUCCCGGGCUCGCUCUUCCUCUUCCUCCUCCUCCUCCUCCUCUCCUCGUCCUCCUCCUCCUCCUCAGAGCGGUGCAUUGUGGAGGGGACUGCUGAGGAGGCAGCUCGCUGCUGGCCCGCUCUGUCCUGAGCUCGGAGCUCUCCAAGGUACUACUUCUCCUGCGAGUCCCCGCGACAAACGCGCGCGCCCUCGCUGGCCUUGCCCGCCUCUUUCUGCCGUUUACACACGUUCACAGCUUGUCCUCUCAAUACACUGUCCCCUUGACAGGAAGAGACCAUGGUGUUUGCUCCAGGUAACGUAUUCACCUUCUCUCUCUCCCCCUCUCCCUCUCUUUCUCUCUCUUCCUUAGCGCAUUGCAAGGGGGCCUUACUCUGCUCCCACCGAGUAGCAGGGGCGGAACUGUUGUAUCCCCCACCCCGCGUGCCCGAAGCCACACACAGAAGCUCCACCAAAAUGCCUCCCAUGUCUGCGGAUCCUGUCCUGACAGAGAUACAAGGAACGCUGCAGAGCACGGAUACGCGGAAGGGCAGGAGGUGCGGGGCUGAGUUAGUGGGAGACUGAGGAAUGUGAAAAGGUUUUUCCCUGGCAGCAGAUCAGAGCUGUGUGGACUCGAUGUCUUUAUGAGCGUUGUCUGAAAUCAAAAGGUCACACUUCUGCAGGAGAAGGGCAGGGGGCAUUCUGUCUAGAUGCCAGCUCCUCUCUUCUAGUCUGAAAGUUUUCUCUACAUCAUAUUAGAAGAUGAUGGAAUUUUAUCUGCAGCAAAAUUGCGCAGCAAAACCUUUACUCACUCUCUCCCAGAAAAUGCUUAACUGAACGGGGGAGGGGGGUGGAUAUGGAGUAAAAAUGCACAAUAGUUGUGCUGUUAGUCUCCAUUCAUAGCCCAGAUGUUAUGCUCCCCCUUUUUAUGCUCGCUGUCCACAGAUUACUCAUUCUGGAAUAAGCCCAUUACACUGGAAAGUGGUUUUUAACAUUGUACCUCAAGAAAGAUAUAAAAUAAUCUGCAAACAGAUGAUAAAUGGGGGCUAUCUUAACCAACUAAAAGUCAGCUCAUAGGCAUGGCUACUGAAUUUAGUGCAACUUUCUUCCAUUUCAGUGUGUAUAGGAAUACAGCCUUCCAGUUCAAUUCUAUACAUACCUACUCAGAAGUAGAUUCCAUUGGAUAGCUUCCAGUAAAUGAAUAUAAAAUUGAAGCCUUUGUGUGCAAUUCUAUGCAAACUUACCAAAGGGCAUAGUCCAUUGAAAACAAAGAAUAUUUUUCACCGUUUGUAUGAAGAUUUCCCUGGCAAGAUGCCCCUAAUUUGUUUAAAACAAACAAAACAGAAACUUAGGUCUGUAAGCUUCCUUUAAACUAUGUUUACGUCAGUAGAAGUUAUGUUAAAGUAAAAAUUAAAUUUAUUUAUUUAAAGCUUUUCUAUCUUGUUCUAUUACAAAAAGUCUCAAUACUAAUGGUAAAACUAAUGCCAAACUAUUAGGUUAACCAAACCAGAUCCCACUGAAAUCAGUGGAACAAGCUAGUCUUGACUGGUGCCACUGAUUCCAGUGGAAACAAAGCUCAGCUCAGCCAGCAUCCAAUCCUAUAGUUUCAGGUUUGUGAAAAAAUGUGUCAACCUUAAACAUGUAUUUAAAUAAAAUUGGAUAGUGCCAUUGGUAGAUUCCCACAUUGCGGGUUGCACAGUACAAGUUGGAAAUGGUGCCUUUGUAAGAUUUAUCACUGUAUUUAUAAGCUGGUAAACUACUGCCAUAUAUUUUAUAAACUGUCUUAUAUACCUAAUUUUAAAUCAAUCCAUAGUUACUCAUUCCCCCCAUCCCCUUCCCAUCAAGAUUUUCCAUAAGAGAUAUGCUGCCACCUGUGAUUUAACUUGUGUAAUAAAUAUGACUAUCAGAAAGUGGGACAAGCAUGCAGGUGAACAGGUGUUUCAGACUCCUGAAAUAUUGACAUAAUAGCCUCAGGAAUGGAAUGAGUUCUCUUGACCAAAAAAGAAAAAAAGUUUUAAAUUAUUUCAAAACUUUUGAUACAAAGAAUGCAUUGAAAUAUCUUUUACAAGCUGGGACUUUGAACAUUUCAAAUGGAUUGGGGAGCACAAGAUGGCUUUAACUACAAAAAAACUGAUGUGCAAUUCAGCCAAAGGUGAUAAAUCUGGAAAUGACCAGGAAGAAGCCAGGCUGCAGAAUGCCAGCAGACAAAUAGUGCACACAGCCAUUCAGCAAGCGGUCCAGCAGCUGUCCCAGGAGAGCCAACGGAAAGAGAAAGGCACCAAGAGCAGUGUGAGCCUGCAACUCGAAAGGGGCCAAUUAACCAAGAAGCAUGAAAAGAAGUAAAGCCUCCCACCCAGGACCUCUUCAUGGGAUAUUCCAGUCUGCAGCCUUUCUGCCUUCUUAGGAUCAGCUGUGUAGCCAGUGCCGCACUACUGCAGAAACGUCAACCAAAGUAUAAUCAGCACAUAGCGAUAAGUAUACCAAGUUGCCAUAGUCCUCAGCUGAGAAUUAGAGUUUUAAGUGCAUUAGGUAAACUUACUCAAUAUUUAUGCAGUGCCUCCUAACACAUGUAACAAAAUAAUGCUGUUGUGGCAACUGAAGUAGUGUCAAGCACAAAUCCUUCCUAGAGUACAAUUCUAUAUUCUGUGUGUUUCGUCAAAGUCUAGGUGUCUUGUGAUCUUUCCCUUGCGUUUCCAGUUUCCCAGGAGUUCAUUAUAUUGACGCACAGUGUUAUAUGUGAGUAGAAAUAUGUUUUUUAGAUUCUUUGAAACACACCUGUAUGCUGUAAGAAGGAAAUAUUGCAGCAGACAAAAUGGUCACAUGGAAAUCCAGCUGGAAAUAUCAGUGAAUGAGCUUUUCAUAAACAUGCUGGCCACAGUCAAAGACAGAGUUAGACGUGCUUCAGAGCUGGGCACUGAUGUCAAAUCUUACUCUUUUACAUUUUAUCUUUUAUUCAAAUCUUAAUCCGUAUUUUAUAAAGUGAGGUCAGAAAGUGAGGUAAUAAUAGUAAUGCAAACCUCAGGCUUACUUCUGAGCAGACAUGUAUAGAAUUGCACUGCUAGCUCCUUAAAAUUGAUGGCGCAUUAUUACCUCUGCCCUUCCAUUCUGAUUCUUUCCACUGAAGUCCAGCACUCCUUUUUCUGGGUUUUGCUCUUUACUUUGCUAGUUCUCUUUAUUUUAAUUUACAAAAUUUUAACAACUUAAAAGAGUAAACUGAAUGUAAAAAUCCAGCUUUGUGAAAUGUGGUAAUGUCAUAAUAAGAACAUGAGGUUAUUCUUGAGUAAGUACUCAUUUCUGGACUGAUCAGAAAAUACUGUCAUUGGAUGCAAAUAUCAAAUAACACCAUGGACCUCCAUGUCUGUGGAGGAACCUCUUUCAUGAGCACUCUUUGGGUUCUAGAGAGAAUGGCAUCUCCAAAAAGAAUGGCAAGUGAGCCUGAAUUUGGAUGUUGUUAUUUGAAUACCAAGGGUACAUAGUUUCUUGAAAAUAGGGGAGUGACAUUGCUCCUUUCCGGCCCACCUGGGGUCACUACACCCUACUGCCAUACCACUGAAUUUGCUGCCAAAAUCCAGUAGUUCAGCAGUGCUGGGGAAAAAGCAGCAACCUUUCUUUGAAACAAGGCGCUGCUCCCAUGAGCCCUCUUUGAACUGCUGCUUUAUUUGAUUACUGCCACCAGUAUUGCAGUGGCAAAUUUUUGCAGUGAAGCGUUGGGACCAGGUGGGACUGUGAACAUGCAGCUUGCAUGUUUAUCCCUGUUGUUUACAACAAAGCAAAGGCGUGCCAGUUCUUUUAUAUUGGGCUUUGUAUAUUCUUUCAAUCCAUGGGAGACUAGCAAGUGUUUCUUGGCCUUAUCUGUAUUUCUUGUUCAAAGGCAAUCAUAUAUCAAAGCCCAUAUAUCAAGUACCGCCUGAGUCGCUGUAUUAAAAAUUCCUGAAUACGUAUUAAGAAAAGACUGGUUGUAAUAUCAAUUCAAAAUAUCUCCAAAUUUCAGAGCUCAUUUUGUAGGUUUCUUUUGUUUUGUUAAUGAAAGAAACUAAUAAAGAAUGAAAUGGCUCACCA